rnacentral:misc_RNA from 1 species
CAACCUUCAAGCCUGGCUUGGUGUUGGGCGCUGUCCCGCCCCCGCGCGCGGACUCGCCCCAAAUGAAUUGGCAGUCGCACCCCCGACACGCGAGCGCAGCAAAGUCGCGCGAGCCGAACCGGCGGGAAGGACGCUCCACGAGACCCCCCACAG